rnacentral:rRNA from 1 species
GGUUAAGCGACUAAGCGUACACGGUGGAUGCCCUGGCAGUCAGAGGCGAUGAAGGACGUGCUAAUCUGCGAAAAGCGUCGGUAAGGUGAUAUGAACCGUUAUAACCGGCGAUGUCCGAAUGGGGAAACCCAGUGUGAUUCGUCACACUAUCGUUAACUGAAUACAUAGGUUAACGAGGCGAACCGGGGGAACUGAAACAUCUAAGUACCCCGAGGAAAAGAAAUCAACCGAGAUUCCCCCAGUAGCGGCGAGCGAACGGGGAGCAGCCCAGAGUCUGAAUCAGCUUGUGUGUUAGUGGAACGGUCUGGAAAGUCCGACGGUACAGGGUGAUAGUCCCGUACACCAAAAUGCACAGGUUGUGAACUCGAAGAGUAGGGCGGGACACGUGGUAUCCUGUCUGAAUAUGGGGGGACCAUCCUCCAAGGCUAAAUACUCCUGACUGACCGAUAGUGAACCAGUACCGUGAGGGAAAGGCGAAAAGAACCCCGGCGAGGGGAGUGAAAAAGAACCUGAAACCGUGUACGUACAAGCAGUGGGAGCACCUUCGGGUGUGACUGCGUACCUUUUGUAUAAUGGGUCAGCGACUUAUAUUCUGUAGCAAGGUUAACCGUAUAGGGGAGCCGCAGGGAAACCGAGUCUUAACUGGGCGUUAAGUUGCAGGGUAUAGACCCGAAACCCGGUGAUCUAGCCAUGGGCAGGUUGAAGGUUGGGUAACACUAACUGGAGGACCGAACCGACUAAUGUUGAAAAAUUAGCGGAUGACUUGUGGCUGGGGGUGAAAGGCCAAUCAAACCGGGAGAUAGCUGGUUCUCCCCGAAAGCUAUUUAGGUAGCGCCUCGUGAAUUCAUCUUCGGGGGUAGAGCACUGUUUCGGCUAGGGGGUCAUCCCGACUUACCAACCCGAUGCAAACUACGAAUACCGAAGAAUGUUAUCACGGGAGACACACGGCGGGUGCUAACGUCCGUCGUGAAGAGGGAAACAACCCAGACCGCCAGCUAAGGUCCCAAAGUCAUGGUUAAGUGGGAAACGAUGUGGGAAGGCACAGACAGCCAGGAUGUUGGCUUAGAAGCAGCCAUCAUUUAAAGAAAGCGUAAUAGCUCACUGGUCGAGUCGGCCUGCGCGGAAGAUGUAACGGGGCUAAACCAUGCACCGAAGCUGCGGCAGCGACACUAUGUGUUGUUGGGUAGGGGAGCGUUCUGUAAGCCUGCGAAGGUGACCUGUGAGGGUUGCUGGAGGUAUCAGAAGUGCGAAUGCUGACAUAAGUAACGAUAAAGCGGGUGAAAAGCCCGCUCGCCGGAAGACCAAGGGUUCCUGUCCAACGUUAAUCGGGGCAGGGUGAGUCGACCCCUAAGGCGAGGCCGAAAGGCGUAGUCGAUGGGAAACAGGUUAAUAUUCCUGUACUUGGUGUUACUGCGAAGGGGGGACGGAGAAGGCUAUGUUAGCCGGGCGACGGUUGUCCCGGUUUAAGCAUGUAGGCUGGUUAUCCAGGCAAAUCCGGAUAAUCAAGGCUGAGGUGUGAUGACGAGGCACUACGGUGCUGAAGUAACAAAUGCCCUGCUUCCAGGAAAAGCCUCUAAGCAUCAGGUAACAUCAAAUCGUACCCCAAACCGACACAGGUGGUCAGGUAGAGAAUACCAAGGCGCUUGAGAGAACUCGGGUGAAGGAACUAGGCAAAAUGGUGCCGUAACUUCGGGAGAAGGCACGCUGGUGUGUAGGUGAAGUCCCUGCGGAUGGAGCUGAGACCAGUCGAAGAUACCAGCUGGCUGCAACUGUUUAUUAAAAACACAGCACUGUGCAAACACGAAAGUGGACGUAUACGGUGUGACGCCUGCCCGGUGCCGGAAGGUUAAUUGAUGGGGUUAUCCGUAAGGAGAAGCUCUUGAUCGAAGCCCCGGUAAACGGCGGCCGUAACUAUAACGGUCCUAAGGUAGCGAAAUUCCUUGUCGGGUAAGUUCCGACCUGCACGAAUGGCGUAAUGAUGGCCAGGCUGUCUCCACCCGAGACUCAGUGAAAUUGAACUCGCUGUGAAGAUGCAGUGUACCCGCGGCAAGACGGAAAGACCCCGUGAACCUUUACUAUAGCUUGACACUGAACAUUGAGCCUUGAUGUGUAGGAUAGGUGGGAGGCUUUGAAGCGUGGACGCCAGUCUGCGUGGAGCCAACCUUGAAAUACCACCCUUUAAUGUUUGAUGUUCUAACGUUGGCCCCUUAUCGGGGUUGCGGACAGUGUCUGGUGGGUAGUUUGACUGGGGCGGUCUCCUCCCAAAGCGUAACGGAGGAGCACGAAGGUUAGCUAAUCCUGGUCGGACAUCAGGAGGUUAGUGCAAUGGCAUAAGCUAGCUUGACUGCGAGCGUGACGGCGCGAGCAGGUGCGAAAGCAGGUCAUAGUGAUCCGGUGGUUCUGAAUGGAAGGGCCAUCGCUCAACGGAUAAAAGGUACUCCGGGGAUAACAGGCUGAUACCGCCCAAGAGUUCAUAUCGACGGCGGUGUUUGGCACCUCGAUGUCGGCUCAUCACAUCCUGGGGCUGAAGUAGGUCCCAAGGGUAUGGCUGUUCGCCAUUUAAAGUGGUACGCGAGCUGGGUUUAGAACGUCGUGAGACAGUUCGGUCCCUAUCUGCCGUGGGCGCUGGAGAAUUGAGGGGGGCUGCUCCUAGUACGAGAGGACCGGAGUGGACGCAUCACUGGUGUUCGGGUUGUCAUGCCAAUGGCACUGCCCGGUAGCUAAAUGCGGAAGAGAUAAGUGCUGAAAGCAUCUAAGCACGAAACUUGCCCCGAGAUGAGUUCUCCCUGAGACUUUAAGUCUCCUGAAGGAACGUUGAAGACGACGACGUUGAUAGGCCGGGUGUGUAAGCGCAGCGAUGCGUUGAGCUAACCGGUACUAAUGAACCGUGAGGCUUAACCUUACAACGCCGAAGAUGUUUUG